GUGCUCACUUCGGCAGCACAUAUACUAAAACUGGAAUACAAAGAAGAUUAGCAUGGCCCCUGUGCAAGGAUGACAUGCAAAUUUGUGAAGCAUUCCAUAUUUUU